AACAUUGGUACAAACACAUACUGAGAGUACUCCCAUGUCUCAAGACUCACUUGUAGCCUGGUGCCUUAUGCAGCCCUACUUUCAGGCUCAGACUGCUUCCAGAUACCCAGUGAAACUCAAACCCAUGGCCACAAGGAAAAGCAGAAUUCCUCGGACUUGGAGUCAUGAACUGAGCUCGUCAACGUGAAUCCCAGAAGCAGAAAUACUUGUCCUUUUGCCAUUAUCUAAUAAAGUAUUGUGUAACCUACACAUUGUUUCUGCUUUUACCUACCUUAAAUUAGCAUUAUUACCUGACUGCUUUAUUUGAUUUGUUCCUUCUUUUUGUCUGACUUCACUAUAGUAAGCUACAGGAAAUAAUAAUUGCUGUUUACAUAAAAACCAACAUUUGCUUUUACCCAUCUUUCAAACUUGGAAAUUUUCUUGAAUCUGCAGAGAGUUUGUGCAGCUUGGUCUGUUGUAUUCCAACUGCUGAUGACGGAGAGUUAUUCCUCAAUUUAUUGUAAAACCUAUUGUAAUACUUAUGUACCUACUGAGGAAAAGUAAGGAACGAUGUUUAAAGAGGUUACUGGUGACGUUGGUGCUGCCACUGAUAUUUCUGGACUGAGAAUUUGCAAGCUUACAAACUCCUGAAGGAAUAAGUUGGAGAAAGAGUAGGAGCUCAGAGAAGAGACUGUUGCCAUCAGAGGAAAGAUUAUGGAUUUAUUUAUUCUUUUACAGAAGAAGUAUUUAACUUUCUUCGGACAUGAUUUAGACAAUAAACAAGAGCAUAGGGAUCAGUAGUAUUUAAAACAGGAACUUUGUAAAUGGCGGAGAAAGUGCUAUAAUCUUCUUCCAGAUCAUACUAAAUGACAAGAAGUAAAAAACAAGCAGAUCUUUCAAGAGCUACAUCUGACAGAACCAGGGAGACUUCCUGGUCAGAAACAGGUAAUAAUUAAAAGGUGGGCAAACCCACAGAAUCUCACCAGAUCUUAUGCUGGACUACAUAUAUUGCUCUUCAGUCUCCUGGAAUCAAAAUGAAAGCUCAUAGCAGACAGACAGAAAGGAUCUAGGAGAGAAGAGAAGCGUGUGGUCUUCCAUGGCAGGAAAAAGUUCAAAGACUUCAAAGGUUUGGGCAUGACCGAAGCUGAGAAAGAAACAGGAGGUGGUUCCCACAGUGGUGGGACAGUCUUUGAGAAACCUGUUGGUACGUGUAUGAUGGAUAAAAGCCUGAAUGACCACACCAAUUUCUGUGCAAGAGAGGUUAAUUUGAAGAUAAGCACAGUUGCCAGCUUUUGUGCAUGUGAACAGUACAUUCAGAAAUUCAUUCCUGUGUUUUUAGGAAUAUAUAUUAGGAAGGACAGUACUAAAAAUGGAAACAAAGUACUCUGGGGUUCUAAGUGGAUGGGGAAAAAAACAUCAAAUGAAAACAACUAGGAUAAAAAUGUCUGAAAACAAUCUGAAAUGGAAAAAGUAUUACCCUUUCUAUGGAUAUAUGCAAAUAGCCAAGAGGUUAAUGUUAAUUUAGAUUUAUUAUAAAUAUGGAAUAUGAUAACCUUGUUAAGGAUAUGUUAGUAAUUACUAUGGGAUCAAUUCUUACUUUCUUAGUUGGAGGAAGCAAUGCUUUUCUCUUUGAAGAGACUUGGUAAGGCCUGGUCCUUCACUGUUCUGUUUUAACUCAAUUAUAUUUUAUUCUAGCUGAAGCAAUAUAUCUGCACUUUUGAAUUUUUUUCAUACAAUAUUCCUUUGGACAUGGGUUUAAAAUUAAUUGAGAUUCACAUACACACAAGUAGUCUUGCAGAGACUGAAAAGUGAAGGAAAGUCUACAUUAUUAGAUAACAGAAA